GUUACCAUUACAUUACGGCUGUUAGAGGCCUACUUCUAUUACUUGCGGUGAUGCAGGGCAUUUUUAGGUGAAGAAGCCAAUCAAACAAAAAUGGAAGCAUGCUGAUGUGAAAAGGUUUGGGGUGGGGGGAGAAAAGGGGGGAAGAGGGGGGGCUGCAGGGGGGCGGGCUUAGGAGGAUAGCAAUUUCUAGCAAGUUUGGGCCAAGGUGAUUUUUGGGACUGCAUAUCCCACGCCCGAAUGUGAGAUUUCCCAUGCCCAGGUUUGAGACUCUCUGGACAGCAGGAGCAGCUACGUUUAUUAUUAU
rnacentral:misc_RNA from 1 species